CGUUCUCACGGAGCCAUGCCCAGAGACAGCAGGCAGAACUGGACACAUGGACACACCAGCUGGUGAUGCUGCCCGAGGGAACGGGCUGGCUGGGGGCUGGGCAAGUCUGAGCUCUCUCCCGUCCUGUCUGUGAAACCCGAUGUCUGUAGGAGACCAGCUCCAACUCCGGGUUCUGUAUAGGGAGCCAGCAUGGCCGGGUGGGGAGCAGGGAUGCUGUUACCCGCAAGGCAGGCCUGCAGAUUUUGCAAAGAACUUUUCUUUCCCUUCAUAAUCUUUCAGGAUGGUCUCCAGCCUGCCUCUGUCUGUUUUUCAGAACCGAAGUACAUCCGUAUGUAUGUCAAUGUCUAGUCCAGUACUUACAGUACGAGGUUUUUAAAAACAAUAUUGAGAGAUUCUGUUUCGUCCUAAAAGCGUCUACAAUCUUGGUCCCGCACAUCUUUAUUUUACUUGCUUAUUUAUUUAUUUUUAGUUUCCAUAGUAUUUUCCCCCCAAGUAAAUGCUGCAGCAUUUACAGAGAACUGCCAGGGUGAAAUACCAGGAACCAGCAGUGGCAAAUGCCCACUUCCCAGCAUCUGUGGUCAUUCAUGGUCCAAAGGAAGACGGAGUUCCAUUUCCAAAAACAAAGAAAAACGCUAAGAUUGCAGGUUCCCAUCAAGGCUAAAGCCCUGCCAUUAAAUCACUCUGCAUGAAGACACAUUACAGCUUUUAAAAGGAGGGAGAAGGCAAACACAAAAAUACGGUGCAAAUACAAUUCACGACUCCCUUUUGUUAACGGGUUCUGCUUCCGCUCGACUCCUCGCUAAUUCUGUCUGGCUGUUUACACACGUUUUUAAUUUGUUCAAUUAUUUCACAGACCAGCAGAUUCACGGUCCGAUUUGUUUCAGGCAAAAUGGACGGUUACAAAAUAUCCCAGACUGUUCUCAGGUUGGAAAAAUGAGUGAACUGAACUUUCGAUGAGGCUACACGAUGGCUCUUUUGUUCUAAGUACAGAACGGAGUCCUUCCCGUGCAUGGAAACAUGGUCAGGAUUGUGUAACAGAUGUGAUAAGUGAGACAACGCCAACAAAACAGCCUGCAGAUCUGCCCACAAACACUGCUUGACGCUACUUGAACGGAGAAGCGAAGACAAUCUGGAGAUGCGUUUCUUUUCCAAAUAACAAUGUUGGGGAAACGAUGGCACAGAAAGGUCAAGUCGCUCACCCUGAAGCUGCACAGGGUGGAGAGACAAACCACCUGCCACAGGAAGAGGUGACAGACCAGCUCAGAGGGCCAGCUGUCUCCCGAAACACCAAACCUGGUUUACCGUUCCCUCGAGGGCCUGGGAAACAGACCACCUCCUCCCCCAGGACUGAGGCUCCCCGCCGCCUGCCCCCGGGUUUCUCAGAAGCCGGGUCUUUCCCUGGAUGCAGCAGGUCAUCCUAAGGACAUGCUGACAGACCAACAUGUGAUACAUGUUCAACCGUCAAAUACUUCACACCCUCAUUCUACGUGUGAAACUUUCCACUUUCCACUAAAAACGCUUAUUUGUCUACAUAACUCAGAGCACAGAUGCAGGGAGAGAGGUUCAGAGGCCCUGGGAGCUGCUGGAGUUGGUUUACAUACGCUGAACCUAGAGCACAAAAGCAUUACCUCAUGCAGGCUGGCCCGUGGCCUGCCCUGUCCAGGGUCCCACGUCUGACCUGAGGUCACUGAGGCUAUAAUUAGCAUGUGGUGUCCUCCCAAAGCCCUUAUCUUGUUCUUUCAACUGAUUUCCUAGGCUGUUAUCGUCCUCAAAGGCUCCAUUUGGACCCAGCUCUGCUUCUGUGGGUGUGGCUCCCUCCCGGGAGGGCUGGCUGCCCAGAGGCCGGUUCUGUGGUGACUGAACCCAGGAUGCUCCAGGCCAUCCCAUGCCCUGACUCCUUUCUAUUUUUAAUUGAAUCUUAAAAUUACUGAGCUUUAGAUUCCACAUA